UUAUCCUGGUCAUAGUUGG
rnacentral:misc_RNA from 1 species